GCUACUUUCAUUCAGGGCUCUUGUUAGCAUCUUAUAGUAAAGGCGUGGAUGAGGAGGGGGAAAAAUAAAGCUUUGACAGAUGGUACUCAGCGUUUGACUCCUGCUGAGCUCAGCAGGACCUGUGGUUUCCAAGGUUAGAGCUGUCAAAAUGGCUCUGUCUAUCAAGUGAAUAACAAAGUGUAGACUGCCUGCCUGUUUCCUAUACAAAACUUAGAUUUCAUUUGCCAUUAUUGUCGGUCUUUCUGCUGAUUUAAUAACUUCUAAGGAGAAGAACUGGGGGUUCUGAUGCAGCCUCACUAUUUAAGAAACUACUUGGAAAGGGAAUUCUCAAGGGCUGAAAGAGGUAGGCCGCGAUCUGAUCUCUUUCUCUUUGGUUUCUCUCUGAGGUUUCAAGACUUAAAAAGGAUUCAAAAGACACCAAAGGUUCACUUUUGGCUGAAAGCUAAAUGUGAACCUUUCAAAAUGAACUCAUUGCUGCCUCUCUCUCAAAAGGGCUUCAGAUGGUCAGAUAAAGUACCUGAUGCUGAAAAACAGGAAAUUGAAUCAUGUCUCCAAAAUGUGCCUUUUGUCAUGCACUGUUACAGCUAUAUUUCUUGAGCAUAACCCUAAUUCUGGGUGUAGUGAUUGAAUUGGAUCCAAGGAAACAAAGGAAAAACAUUUUUUAAAGAAAUGUUUUAAAUUUUUUUAAAUUCUGAGUUCCUGGAGAAGAGUAUUUGAAUGCCACUGAUCUAAUUUAUAAGUAGGUGCAUGUUUGCAAUCCCAUGAAGAACACUUACCAGAAACAACCUUGCAGAUCAGGCUCAAGAGAAGACUUGAGUUGGACGUUUGUUGGAAUGCUGUAUAAAUCAAGUGGCAAAUGCUUAUUUGACCAAAGUCCAAGUGUUUCAAGUAGAGUUCAGUCAAGUGAUUGAUCAGGUCUGCAUUUUUUCAGGGAUGUCUGCAGAUAAAGUUCAAUAUUAACUUAAGGAAAUGUUUUCAUUUUCUUUUAGCCAGCAUUUAAGGCAAGAUAGACAAUUUUAUUUUAAACCAAAUUAUUACAAAGGAAACACUUUCCAUAUUCCAAUACAUGAAUUUGUUAUUCUUCAUAUAGUAACUACAUUCAGCCUGCAGCCAAGAUAAAGAAUUUUGUGAUACACACUUGAUCUUCCAUCUCUGCUUUCAAAGAUGUGAAUUCUGCAAACCAGACAGAAGAGGGAGCUAUCCAUCUGGAAAUUAACCAAGCCUUUCAAAAACGUCAAAUAAAUAC
rnacentral:lncRNA from 10 species